GGGGUUCUUAGAACUUUUUGUGGUGUGUGUUGGCCUAGAGCGACUCAGAAGCGUUAGUGACUUCACCUAAAAAAGCUAACCUCUCUGCUGAGCGCGACCGGUAUGCGGCGCAGGAUGAGCCUCAGGGCUUCUGUUAAGAGUCUGUCUGAGAAAGCCGGUCUGCGCUGUUCCUCGGUGGCGACCUUAAUUAUGAGAUGAGCUAAUGCUUUACUGACUUAACCAUGGCGCAGCGGGCAGUGUGGCUCAUAAGCCACGAACCGGGAACUCCACUUUGUGGCACCGUGAGAUUCUCCAGGCCAUUGUUUCUUCUUGCUCUGUAGUACUCAUGGUUCACAUCCUACACAUUUACCUGUCCCCUUUACCUAGUGAUGACCUCUCCCAAAUUUGCCUCCAAAGAACACUGCCAAAGUAUGCAUCCUCAAAUCUGUCCAUGGGGCAUGUCUAUGCCGAUUUUGACUAAAGACUGCCAAAUAAUCUGCUCCACAGAAUGCUUUCAGCCACCUACGCACUCACUAGCAGCAAGAA
rnacentral:lncRNA from 10 species